CCUACGGGAGGCUGCAGUGAGGAAUAUUGGUCAAUGGGCGGAAGCCUGAACCAGCCAAGUAGCGUGCAGGAUGACGGCCCUACGGGUUGUAAACUGCUUUUAUACGGGAAUAACGCGCCUUACGUGUAGGGUUUUGCAUGUCCCGGAUGAAUAAGGAACGGCUAAUUCCGUGCCAGCAGCCGCGGUAAUACGGAAGGUCCGGGCGUUAUCCGGAUUUAUUGGGUUUAAAGGGAGCGUAGGCCGCAUGUCAAGCGUGCGUUGAAAUGCGCGGGCUCAACCCGGGCCUUGCGGCGCGAACUGGCGUGCUUGAGUCCGCGGAAAGCAGGCGGAAUGCGUCGUGUAGCGGUGAAAUGCUUAGAUAUGACGAAGAACCCCGAUUGCGAAGGCAGCUUGCUGCAGCGGAACUGACGCUGAUGCUCGAAAGCGCGGGUAUCGAACAGGAUUAGAUACCCGAGUAGUC
rnacentral:rRNA from 1 species